UACGUAGGUGGCAAGCGUUGUCCGGAUUUACUGGGCGUAAAGGGCGUGCAGGCGGUUUGUUAAGUCUUGGGUGAAAGCUCCCGGCUCAACUGGGAGAGGUCCUUGGAUACUGGCGAACUUGAGGGAUGCAGAGGAAAGUGGAAUUCCCGGUGUAGUGGUGAUAUGCGUAGAUAUCGGGAGGAACACCAGUGGCGAAGGCGGCUUUCUGGGCAUUUCCUGACGCUGAGACGCGAAAGCGUGGGGAGCGAACCGG
rnacentral:rRNA from 1 species